AAGGUAGCAUAAUAAAUUGACUUUUAAUUGAAGCCUUGAAUGAAAGGAUAAAUGAAUAAUUACUAUAUUAUAUUACUUACAAUAAUUUUCUUAAAAGGUGAAAAUUCCUUUAAAUAUAAUAGACGAGAAGACCCUAGGAGUUUUUUUGUUGGGGCAACAUUAUAGCAUACAACCUAUAAAUUAAAGGUUUGUAAAACGAAAAUUUUUAAUAAUAAUUAAACUACCCUAGGGAUAACAGCAUAAAGUUUGUGACCUCGAUGUUGGAUUAGGAAUUUUAAAGUUAACAGCGUUAAAUGAUAGUUCUGUUCGAACUUAUUUACCU
rnacentral:rRNA from 1 species